rnacentral:rRNA from 1 species
AUUGAACGCUGGCGGCAGGCCUAACACAUGCAAGUCGAGCGGAUGAAGGGAGCUUGCUCCUGGAUUCAGCGGCGGACGGGUGAGUAAUGCCUAGGAAUUUGCCUGGUCGUGGGGGAUAACGUCCGGAAACGGGCGCUAAUACCGCAUACGUCCUGAGGGAGAAAGUGGGGGAUCUUCGGACCUCACGCUAUCAGAUGAGCCUAGGUCGGAUUAGCUAGUUGGUGGGGUAAAGGCCUACCAAGGCGACGAUCCGUAACUGGUCUGAGAGGAUGAUCAGUCACACUGGAACUGAGACACGGUCCAGACUCCUACGGGAGGCAGCAGUGGGGAAUAUUGGACAAUGGGCGAAAGCCUGAUCCAGCCAUGCCGCGUGUGUGAAGAAGGUCUUCGGAUUGUAAAGCACUUUAAGUUGGGAGGAAGGGCAGUAAGUUAAUACCUUGCUGUUUUGACGUUACCAACAGAAUAAGCACCGGCUAACUUCGUG